CGGAGGUGGCGUGGAUGAGCAGCAGCCGCCUGAGCAGUGAGGAAACCCCGCGGACAGCGCGAAACAUGAACACAGCCCUGAUCAAGCGGAACCGAUACACUCCCGAAACAGGCAGAAAAUCCUAAACACACUUGCAGCACCAGCCAGCAAAGCUGCACUCACAGCGUCGGGAACCGGAGGUGGCUGGGAGAACCAGGAAUAAACGACGGGACACACGUCCAGCCUUCCUGAGUUCAAGCGCCCUGAAUUCACCCACCAGCACACCCAUGGGGGAGACGGGCACUUUUGUAUGUGACACGGGCCCCCAAUGAGAAAAGCCUGGGGUGCUCUCCCUAGAGCUGACACGUGUACACGCAUGCAAAACCCAGCCCUGGGACUGAUGGGCUCUAGGCCCCGACAAAGGAGCACAGGAGGCCUAUUCCAUUUCAGUACAAUGGGUUCCGUGAUCGGCCAAGGCUGGGCUCAGUCCUACACCAGACUGACAGCUUCCUCAC
rnacentral:lncRNA from 1 species